rnacentral:rRNA from 1 species
GAUGAACGCUGGCGGCGUGCCUAAUACAUGCAAGUCGAGCGAACAGACGAGGAGCUUGCUCCUCUGACGUUAGCGGCGGACGGGUGAGUAACACGUGGAUAACCUACCUAUAAGACUGGGAUAACUUCGGGAAACCGGAGCUAAUACCGGAUAAUAUAUUGAACCGCAUGGUUCAAUAGUGAAAGACGGUUUUGCUGUCACUUAUAGAUGGAUCCGCGCCGCAUUAGCUAGUUGGUAAGGUAACGGCUUACCAAGGCAACGAUGCGUAGCCGACCUGAGAGGGUGAUCGGCCACACUGGAACUGAGACACGGUCCAGACUCCUACGGGAGGCAGCAGUAGGGAAUCUUCCGCAAUGGGCGAAAGCCUGACGGAGCAACGCCGCGUGAGUGAUGAAGGUCCUCGGAUCGUAAAACUCUGUUAUUAGGGAAGAACAAAUGUGUAAGUAACUAUGCACGUCCUGACGGUACCUAAUCAGAAAGCCACGGCUAACUACGUG